rnacentral:rRNA from 1 species
AACGCAGGUGGUUUGGUAAGUCAGGGGUGAAAGUCCACAGCUUAACUGUGGCACUGCCUUUGAUGCUACCUUUCUUGAGUGCAUGAGGGGGAAGCGGAAUUCCGAGUGUAGAGGUGAAAUUCGUAGAUAUUCGGAGGAACACCGGUGGCGAAGGCGGCUUCCUGGCAUGUAACUGACACUCAUGUUCGAAAGCGUGGGGAGCAAACAGGAUUAGAUACCCUGGUAGUCCACGCCCUAAACGAUGGGCACUAGGUGUGGGAGGUAUCGACCCCUUCCGUGCCGCAGCUAACGCAUUAAGUGCCCCGCCUGGGGAGUACGGCCGCAAGGUUGAA